AAAUUGAAGAGUUUGAUCAUGGCUCAGAUUGAACGCUGGCGGCAGGCCUAACACAUGCAAGUCGAACGGUAACAGGAAGCAGCUUGCUGCUUUGCUGACGAGUGGCGGACGGGUGAGUAAUGUCUGGGAAACUGCCUGAUGGAGGGGGAUAACUACUGGAAACGGUGGCUAAUACCGCAUAACGUCGCAAGACCAAAGAGGGGGACCUUCGGGCCUCUUGCCAUCAGAUGUGCCCAGAUGGGAUUAGCUUGUUGGUGAGGUAACGGCUCACCAAGGCGACGAUCCCUAGCUGGUCUGAGAGGAUGACCAGCCACACUGGAACUGAGACACGGUCCAGACUCCUACGGGAGGCAGCAGUGGGGAAUAUUGCACAAUGGGCGCAAGCCUGAUGCAGCCAUGCCGCGUGUAUGAAGAAGGCCUUCGGGUUGUAAAGUACUUUCAGCGGGGAGGAAGGUGUUGUGGUUAAUAACCGCAGCAAUUGACGUUACCCGCAGAAGAAGCACCGGCUAACUCCGUGCCAGCAGCCGCGGUAAUACGGAGGGUGCAAGCGUUAAUCGGAAUUACUGGGCGUAAAGCGCACGCAGGCGGUCUGUCAAGUCGGAUGUGAAAUCCCCGGGCUCAACCUGGGAACUGCAUUCGAAACUGGCAGGCUUGAGUCUUGUAGAGGGGGGUAGAAUUCCAGGUGUAGCGGUGAAAUGCGUAGAGAUCUGGAGGAAUACCGGUGGCGAAGGCGGCCCCCUGGACAAAGACUGACGCUCAGGUGCGAAAGCGUGGGGAGCAAACAGGAUUAGAUACCCUGGUAGUCCACGCCGUAAACGAUGUCUACUUGGAGGUUGUGCCCUUGAGGUGUGGCUUCCGGAGCUAACGCGUUAAGUAGACCGCCUGGGGAGUACGGCCGCAAGGUUAAAACUCAAAUGAAUUGACGGGGGCCCGCACAAGCGGUGGAGCAUGUGGUUUAAUUCGAUGCAACGCGAAGAACCUUACCUGGUCUUGACAUCCACAGAACUUUCCAGAGAUGGAUUGGUGCCUUCGGGAACUGUGAGACAGGUGCUGCAUGGCUGUCGUCAGCUCGUGUUGUGAAAUGUUGGGUUAAGUCCCGCAACGAGCGCAACCCUUAUCCUUUGUUGCCAGCGGUCCGGCCGGGAACUCAAAGGAGACUGCCAGUGAUAAACUGGAGGAAGGUGGGGAUGACGUCAAGUCAUCAUGGCCCUUACGACCAGGGCUACACACGUGCUACAAUGGCGCAUACAAAGAGAAGCGACCUCGCGAGAGCAAGCGGACCUCAUAAAGUGCGUCGUAGUCCGGAUUGGAGUCUGCAACUCGACUCCAUGAAGUCGGAAUCGCUAGUAAUCGUGGAUCAGAAUGCCACGGUGAAUACGUUCCCGGGCCUUGUACACACCGCCCGUCACACCAUGGGAGUGGGUUGCAAAAGAAGUAGGUAGCUUAACCUUCGGGAGGGCGCUUACCACUUUGUGAUUCAUGACUGGGGUGAAGUCGUAACAAGGUAACCGUAGGGGAACCUGCGGUUGGAUCACCUCCUUA
rnacentral:rRNA from 1 species